rnacentral:rRNA from 1 species
AUUGAACGCUGGCGGCAUGCCUUACACAUGCAAGUCGAACGGUAGCAGGUCUUCGGAUGCUGACGAGUGGCGAACGGGUGAGUAAUACAUCGGAACGCGCCCGAUCGUGGGGGAUAACGAAGCGAAAGCUUUGCUAAUACCGCAUAAGAUCUACGGAUGAAAGCAGGGGACCGCAAGGCCUUGCGCGAACGGAGCGGCCGAUGGCAGAUUAGGUAGUUGGUGGGAUAAAAGCUUACCAAGCCGACGAUCUGUAGCCGGUCUGAGAGGACGAGCAGCCACACUGGGAGUGAGCCACGGCCCAGACUCCUACGGGAGGCAGCAGUGGGGAAUUUUGGACAGUGGGCGAAAGCCUGAUCCAGCCAUGCCGCGUGCAGGAUGAAGGCCUUCGGGUUGUAGACUGCUUUUGUACGGAACGAAAAGACUCUUUCUAAUAAAGAGGGUCCAUGACGGUACCGUAAGAAUAAGCACCGGCUAACUACGUGCCAGCAGCCGCGGUAACAC